GGUCGAGUGGUGUAGUGGUCAUCACGUUCCGCUCACAGAUAUCUCUCUGUAGAACCGGAAAGGUCCCGAGUUCAAACCUCGGUUCGACCU
rnacentral:tRNA from 1 species